UUACGGCCAUAUCACGUUGAGACACCGGUUCUCGUACGAUCACCGAAGUUAAGCAACGUCGAGCCUGGUCAGUUCCUCAUAGGUCACUGCUUGGAAAUAGUAGGCCCUGU